rnacentral:rRNA from 1 species
UGGGGAAUUUUUCGCAAUGGGCGCAAGCCUGACGAAGCAACGCCGCGUGGAGGAUGAAGGUCUUCGGAUUGUAAACUCCUGUCGACCGGGACGAAUGCACCCGACCUAAUACGUCGAAGUGUUGACGGUACCGGUGGAGGAAGCCACGGCUAACUCUGUGCCAGCAGCCGCGGUAAUACAGAGGUGGCAAGCGUUGUUCGGAAUUACUGGGCGUAAAGGGCGCGUAGGCGGCCUUAUAAGUCUCGUGUGAAAGCCCUCGGCUUAACUGAGGAUCUGCACGGGAUACUGUAGGGCUCGAGUUCGGGAGAGGAAAGCGGAAUUCCGGGUGUAGCGGUGAAAUGCGUAGAUAUCCGGAGGAACACCAGUGGCGAAGGCGACUUGCUGGACUUAUGGUGACGCUGAGACGCGAAAGCGUGGGGAGCAAACAGGAUUAGAUACCCCCGUAGUCCCUGAGCGGGCUGGCAAGGCGCAU